AGGGGCGGCCCAGGCCCAUGUGCGGGAUGGGCCGUCGAACAAGGCCCCUUAAAAAUGAGGGCCUCAAAAAUUUUUUAUAGGGUAGUAGUAUUAGUAAGUUAGGGGGUGUAAUAAUUAAAUAUUUAUGUUAAGGUGUAUUAGUAAAUGAGGCCCAAUCCAGCCCAAUCCAUUUUUCUUAAAAAAAAUCAUGGGGAAUAGAAAAAGAAAGAAGCUACUAUCUGUUGAAGUGUAAUUCAAAUGUGUUGCCUGAUGUUGGAACAUCUGCAGAGUUUCAAAUGUGCUGCCUGAUGUUGGAACAUCUGCAGAGUGCAGAGAUGUUCACAGUUCAAAUACUUAGUCAGUUUAGAAGUUAGUUAGUUGGUUACAACUAACUGUUAGUUAGUCAGUUACAAAAUUGUGAAUGAGUUAGUUACUUGUUGGGUAGUUACUUAUCUUAUAAGCAAUAUUAUGUAACCAAUAUAAAUAAACUUGUAAUUGUGUAAUUCAACAAUGAAUGUUAAUGAGAAUAAUACACUUUUACAUCUGCAAUAA
rnacentral:lncRNA from 1 species